AGCCUUACUGCUAAUCCUACCCACCAAGUUCCCAUCGGCGGCACGCCGGCGGCGGUCGCCGCCGGCGAGCCAUUGUCUCGUACUACCGUCGUCUUCGUCAAGUUGUUGCAUCGUUGUUCGUCGUCCCGUCCUCAAGCCUGUCAAGCAGCAGUCAGGAGCAUCGUCCUUCCUCAUCCACACGCAUCAGUGCACGCCGCCGGCGGCAACCCCGUCCAAGCUGUCAGCCAUGUCGUCCCCGCUGCGGCUCGUCGUCAAUCGCGAAGCCGUCCUCACCAGCCGUCGUCCUCGCUGCCCGUCGCAGCGCUCGUCAACGGCAUCUGUCACUGCCGCUCGUCGCGGCGUGCAUCUCCUCACCAGCUCCACACCUCGCUGCCUGUCGUAACCCCUUGCGUGGCGCCGGUCCUCUCCGCCAAUCAGGCCCUGUCACCCGUUUGUAGCAGAGCAAGCAGCUGCCGCUGCCGGCAGAUCCUUCAGUCUUGGCUAUUGCCUGUAAACUGCACAAGUCCAUAUGCUGCACACAAGGUGCUCGACAAAAUGCUUCAAAGAGUUGCUCCCAGCUUGUGGUCAUGCUUUUGCCUUUCCAAUUUGGUGCUUUACUGA
rnacentral:lncRNA from 2 species